rnacentral:rRNA from 1 species
AUUGAACGCUGGCGGCAUGCUUUACACAUGCAAGUCGAACGGUAACAGGGAGCUUGCUCCGCUGACGAGUGGCGAACGGGUGAGUAAUAUAUCGGAACGCGCCCAAGAGUGGGGGAUAACGUAGCGAAAGUUACGCUAAUACCGCAUACGAUCCAAGGAUGAAAGCAGGGGACCUUCGGGCCUUGUUCUCCUGGAGCGGCCGAUAUCUGAUUAGCUAGUUGGUGAGGUAAAGGCUCACCAAGGCGACGAUCAGUAGCUGGUCUGAGAGGACGACCAGCCACACUGGAACUGAGACACGGUCCAGACUCCUACGGGAGGCGGCAGUGGGGAAUUUUGGACAAUGGGGGCAACCCUGAUCCAGCAAUGCCGCGUGAGUGAAGAAGGCCUUCGGGUUGUAAAGCUCUUUUGUCAGGGAAGAAAAGGGUACGGCUAAUAUCCGUGCCUCAUGACGGUACCUGAAGAAUAAGCACCGGCUAACUACGUGCCAGCCGCCGCGGUAA